GGGUGGCAGCUCAGAGCACAUGCCAGCUCCUGAGCCGCAGCUAUUUCAGAUUGUUUGGAUUCCACCACGCUGCAGGCAAGCCUUCCGUGGGUCCAUUUAAAUCCACCCUCCCACCCCGGUCCCUUCCUCCAUCCCCAUAACUCGUUUCCUCCACACUCCCAGGGAGUCAGAAGAAAAUGUUAAGCCCCAUGUGGCCAACGCAUCCUGCCAUGGAAACAGGCAUAUUUCUUCUCCUUGGGAGAGUCUCGGCUGUGGAAUUUCCAAAUGCCCUGACUGCCCCCUGCACUGGACUCUGAGACUUUCAAUGCAUGACUCAUUUCACUCUGAGGGAAGUGGAGACCAGCACCCAAGUACUGCUCCCCAUGGCCACCUGUUGUCCUGUCACCUUGCUCCUCCAGGGGACCAGCUGAGGGAACCGCUUCCUAAGUGGCCACUUCCACUCCUGUCCUCUAACUCAGCACAUACACAGGAGACAGCAUAAGCCUGUAAAAAUCUAAAUGGAUUGUGUCCUUCUCUAAUAAAGCCCAAGCAUCGCUCCUGCCUGCAUGGUGGGUAAGAUCCAAGUUCUUUAACUUGGCCCGAGACACUCAAGUGACCUGACGCCUGCACACCCACUGCAGAUCUCUGGUGUCAUCACCAGAGGGUCCCAGGACUUGUCCCUUCAGUCUCCCACAAGUGCAGAGGGCCUGCAUCCCCAGCUUGUCCGGUGUCUGGGAGAAGACUUUAAGAGCUGACGCUGCAGGUUACAGAUCUUUGUUCUGAGCCUAACAUAGCUGUUCUUCAUCUUCUGGUGGUUGAGCAUUUAUCAAAGGUUUCAUAUUCUUAAUAAAUUGCCCUUUCUUUAAAAACCCCUUGUUUCUGACAUUGACCUUUUGGUACCUGUAUAUUAAGA